UGAAACAUACCUUACGUUGCCUCGGCAGGUCGCGCCUACCUAGUAGGACCCUACCCUGUAGGGCCUACCCGGGAGACGCGGGUAAGCCUGCCGGCGGCCCACGAAACUCUGUUUAAUAUUGAAUUCUGAACAUAUAACUAAAUAAGUUAAAACUUUCAACAACGGAUCUCUUGGUUCUGGCAUCGAUGAAGAACGCAGCGAAAUGCGAUAAGUAAUGUGAAUUGCAGAAUUCAGUGAAUCAUCGAAUCUUUGAACGCACAUUGCGCCCAUUAGUAUUCUAGUGGGCAUGCCUGUUCGAGCGUCAUUUCAACCCUUAAGCCUCUGUUGCUUAGUGUUGGGAGCCUACAGCACCUGUAGCUCCCCAAAGUUAGUGGCGGAGUCGGUUCACACUCUAGACGUAGUAAUUUUAUCUCGCCUAUUAGUUGGACCAGUCUCCCGCCGUAAAACCCCUAUAUUUUAAAGGUUGACCUCGGAUCAGGUAGGAAUACCCGCUGAACUUAAGCAUAUCAA
rnacentral:rRNA from 1 species